UUAAGUAGACCGCCUGGGGAGUACGGCCGCAAGGUUAAAACUCAAAUGAAUUGACGGGGGCCCGCACAAGCGGUGGAGCAUGUGGUUUAAUUCGAUGCAACGCGAAGAACCUUACCUGGUCUUGACAUCCACAGAAGAAUCCAGAGAUGGAUUUGUGCCUUCGGGAACUGUGAGACAGGUGCUGCAUGGCUGUCGUCAGCUCGUGUUGUGAAAUGUUGGGUUAAGUCCCGCAACGAGCGCAACCCUUAUCCUUUGUUGCCAGCGGUCCGGCCGGGAACUCAAAGGAGACUGCCAGUGAUAAACUGGAGGAAGGUGGGGAUGACGUCAAGUCAUCAUGGCCCUUACGACCAGGGCUACACACGUGCUACAAUGGCGCAUACAAAGAGAAGCGACCUCGCGAGAGCAAGCGGACCUCAUAAAGUGCGUCGUAGUCCGGAUUGGAGUCUGCAACUCGACUCCAUGAAGUCGGAAUCGCUAGUAAUCGUGGAUCAGAAUGCCACGGUGAAUACGUUCCCGGGCCUUGUACACACCGCCCGUCACACCAUGGGAGUGGGUUGCAAAAGAAGUAGGUAGCUUAACCUUCGGGAGGGCGCUUACCACUUUGUGAUUCAUGACUGGGGUGAAGUCGUAACAAGGUAACCGUAGGGGAACCUGCGGUUGGAUCACCUCCUUACCUUAAAGAAGC
rnacentral:rRNA from 2 species